AUGGAGCCAGAGAAGGCAGAGUGGUGAGCGACACAAUUCCAUUUUACCUUUGAUUACUUGGUUUUCAAUUUUAUGAUUUCCCCCCUCUCUUGCAAUUCAUUUUCCAGUUUUGAUAUGUAAUCAAGUUGAAAUUAAUAUGUUGGAAGAGGCCACAAGUCAAAGUUAUGUACGCUUUUAGGAAUUUACUUUGGGUAAUACAAAAUCAUUCUUAGCUUAGUUACAAGAAUGCGAAAAUAAUAUUAAGUCUUUUCCUAGCCUAAUUGGUUUAAAUGCCAUAGGACAACUAUGUUAUUGUUUUAAGGAUUUGAAAGCACAUCCUUAUUGUUUUGAACACCUGCUUUUGUGUAGUUCCAGAAAAUCAGGAAAUCAUGUACACAACCUUUACUUGUAGUCAGAAGAACAUAUAAUAUAUUGGAAUUUUUGUUGGUUGCAUCAUCGUCUUCUGGUUGGACAGACUAUGUCUUGAGUUUGUGAGUAGAAAUAUCUCAGAUCCUUAAAUUGCAUCCUUGUGAUUGCAUGCAUAUAUUAUUCAGGCAAUUUAUCUUUAUCGAAAUUCUUUCUUGGUUGGAGAAAUAUGUCUCAUCUGUUUCAUUGGUUUUCUUUGUUCUGCUUCCAACUUUAUGUCUGUAGUUUCAAUAUGAUUUGCAAUUGGAAAUUUUACUUCUCUUAGCUUCUUUAUAUCAAAAUAUCUUCUGUGAUUUCUUUUUGGAAGUUUAGCUGGUUGUAUAUUUUUCUUUUGUUAUUAUUGUGCCAAUCUACUCCAUAGGAAUGAUGGUAGUUGCUGCCAGAGUCCUUAAGUAAUCAGAUUCAGGUAUGAUUUGUUGAUUUUAUUUUGGAUUCCCACCUGCAGUAACCAUACAGUCUUCAGAGGGAUAGCCUGAUUGUGAACUCAUUUAUCAUCUGAAUCCUUUUUCUAACUGCGUGCUUGACCUGUAAUUACUUGUUUUUCUGCCUUUAAUUCUGUUUGGGAGGUAAUUCCAUAUUUCUUUUAUUAGCAAAGAUUGUUGCUUUGCCUCUGCUGAGCACCAUUGCGUAGCUUCUGGUUGCUGAUUUAACUUUCCUGCCUCUUCUCUGUGCUCUUUAGGCCUUUGUGUUUGUUGUUUUUGUGCCUUGUAAGUAUUGUAAGUGAGAUGCAAUUCUAUGUAUUUUUUUUUUUAAUUAUCAAAAGAUUGUUGCUUUACCUCCUCUGUGUACCAUUGCAUAGCUUCUGGGUUCUGAUUUCACUCUUCUUCCUCUUCUGUUUGCUCUGUAGGCCUUAAAGGUUGUUUCUAUACUUUCUGGGUUCUGUAUAGGCCAAAGAGAUGCUGCUUUUGCUUUUUGAGUCCCUUUACUUUUUGCUUGGGCUCUUCCACUUUGUGCUUCAGCCUUAUAGUGUUACUAGUUUGGCUUCUUGUUUAGUUUUUGUACUUAUCCAUUUCUAAGUCACGGGCUUCAUAUUUUGGAUCUUAAAAAUAAGUGCAAGCAUUAUCUCCCAAGUCAUGUUUAGACCAUAGAGCCAAGGUCAACCAAGAAGGAUGUCCGUAGCAAUCAUGGGAAUUUCGUUACUCUAAAUAUACAGCAAAAGAACUAUAAGCCAUAUUUACAGAAAUGCAAAUCCGAGGUCUGUGCAGCAUUUCUUGUCUUUGGAUCGGGGGGUUGAAGUCCUUCAUUUUUACAGAGAAGUAGAUUUCUGUUUGGAUUGAUUGGCAAACUGUGCUUCAUAUUUUACUCUAGGAGCUCAUAGACUUGACCAUCCUCCAGUCAGUAUUAUUUCGUGGCUCCUUAAUAUUGCUUGUGGCGCUUCAUGUGCUAGACAAGUAGUGAUGUAAUUCUUUUUUUGAGUUUAGUUCCUCUAUUCUACCAAAAAAAAAAGAGCACUAUAAGCCAUAAAGAAAGAAACAAUAGAACACUGAGCUGCUGAUGGCAAAUAAAUAGCUUUUUUUAUUAAUAUAAUGGCCCUGACCUAUUAAUAAUGAAUUUUAUUCAGUUAGGACACCCAGUUGACCCCACUUCUAUUUCUUCAGCAGUCAAAGCCCAAGGACAAAUGAGUUCUUGAGUCAGCAAGCUUUCUGCAUCAAUUUUUUUUCCCUUUUUUAUUGCAUUGACAUCACCCCCCUUUGAGGAUAGUCGAUAGUGUCAUCAAGAUAACCGAUAGAAUCUUAGUCCCUUCCAUUCUCUUCCUGAUAAAAUGGUUUGCUUCAAUGGAAGUACCAACAAUCCAUGCUGCUUUGUUUGGUUGAUGACAUAACUUGAUAUGUUUAACCAUAAUAGAUAUAGACAUGAGCUUUAUAAUUAUAGUAUGUUCAUGGCAAAUAUAUAUGGUACAUUAAAAUGAAUGGAUGUUUGAUAUUUACAUGUAUGCUUUUUGAGAGUAAAGAAAAGGAAAAAGUGAAGUAUCUAUCUCAUCCUUUUCCAAAUCGUCAAAGUCAUGCACCCCAUAAUGACCAACAGUUGGUAUUUUCUGGUGUUGACAUUAGGCUAAAUUGGACAACUAGGAUUCAAAAGAAUCAAAAAAUUUUGAAAUCAAAUGAAAAUGCUUGCAGAAUUAAGGGAAACAUAACAGAUUUUAGCUUUUCACACACAGAUUUUCCCCUCAAAAUACGUAGGGUUUAAUCAUUAUCACCUGUAGUGUUUGGUUGCUUCAUAUAUAUCCAAGGAAGGCAUGGCUGAUAAUCUUUUAAAACCAUUCGCUAUUUGUUCUAUAUAGAUUAUGUAGAUGUUUAUAUAUAGAAAGACACUCAAAAUUCUUAAUGCUUAUAAGUUUGAAUUCCUAAAUGGAAAAAUAUAAAAUUUGUUACUUUGACUAAGACUAAUUGAAAUAAAAUCGCGCAGCAAAUCCAAAAUUUGGACAAAAAUGUUAAGAGUCCAAGAAACCCAUUUAACUUUUUGUUGAAAUAAUAAAUUAAUGAUGCUCUUGUGAAGUGGGCUGUUGUCUUGGUUUCAAAUCUCACAUUUGGGAGGUGAAUAUUAUGAUCUUAUUUUAGCUAGUAAGCAACUGGAUGACUUGACAAAAUUCUAGUUUGCUUGAAAUUAAUUACAAUUGUAAAACAUUAUCAUGGAUUUGAAGCUGACUUUUUCAUGUAAUAUACUCAUGGAGUGUUAUCUUAAUAUAGCAGUAUGAAAGAAUAACAUAAUAUAUUCUUAUGGCCAUCUAGAGAUAAAUGGGGUUUGAAUGUAUUUUGAUUUUGAGAGUAAUGCAUAUAACUAUCAGUGCUUCACUAAAUGAUAAUUUAUUACUCUUGUUUAGUAAUUUCCUGCAUUCCAAAAUUGACUUUCAUAUAGUGGGAGAGGCAUCAAAAGGAUCAAGGGACAGGCACUUAUGUUAUUUUGUCUGUGCUCAUAUUUCAUUGUACUAUUUGCUGUAUGAAAAAAUAUGAUGUAAUGUAAUGUGUAUUUUACCACUCAUAUUGUCAUUGUUUAUACAUUCUUAUAGGAUAUGCUUUACUGUUGCAUGUUUAUUAACCUACUGACAUACAACUUUAUUUGUUUCAAGCCAUUUUUAAUAAUCAGAUGAUUGUUCUUACCAGGGGAUUCAAAGCGCUGAAACAAA
rnacentral:misc_RNA from 1 species